GACGAACGCUGGCGGCGUGCUUAACACAUGCAAGUCGAACGAUGAAGAAAAGAAUUGAAGCUUCGGCAGAAAUUCAUUUCGGAUUAGUGGCAGACGGGUGAGUAACGCGUGAGCAACCUACCUCUUACAAAGGGAUAGCCUCGGGAAACCGGGAUUAAUACCAUAUAACAUUGCGACGAAGCAUUUCGAUGCAAUCAAAGCUACGGCGGUAAGAGAUGGGCUCGCGUCCCAUUAACCAGAUGGUGAGGUAACGGCUCACCAUAGUAACGAUGGGUAACCGGCCUGAGAGGGUGAACGGUCACACUGGAACUGAGACACGGUCCAGACUCCUACGGGAGGCAGCAGUGGGGAAUAUUGCACAAUGGAGGGAACUCUGAUGCAGCGACGCCGCGUGAGUGAUGAAGGAAUUCGUUUCGUAAAACUCUAUUCUAUGGGAAGAAAAGGACUGUACCAUAGGAGAAAGCUCCGGCUAAAUACGUG
rnacentral:rRNA from 1 species